rnacentral:rRNA from 1 species
AACGAACGCUGGCGGCAUGCCUAACACAUGCAAGUCGAACGACACCAUCGUGACUGGUGGCGCACGGGGGCGUAACGCGGGGGAACCUGCCCGUAGGCUCGGGAUACCUCUCCGAAAGGGGUGCUAAUAUCGGGUAAUGUCCUCUGAUCAAAGAUUUAUCGCGCUUGGGUGGGCGCGCGUUGGUUUAGCCAGUUGGUAGGGUAAAAGCCUACCAAGGCGAGGAUCCAUAGCGGGUCAGAGAGAAUGAUCAGCCACACUGAGACGAGGACACGGCGCAGACUCCUACGGGAGGCAGCAGUGGGGAAUAUAGGACAAUCGGCGAAAGCAUGAUCCAGCUAGGCCGCGAGAGUGAUGAAGUCCGUAGAGUAGUAAAGCUCUUUUACCCGGGAUGAUAAUGACAGUACCGGGAGAAUAAGCUCCGGCUAACUCCGUG